rnacentral:rRNA from 1 species
UACGGAGGGUGCAAGCAUUAAUCGGAUUUAUUGGGCGUAAAGGGCGCGUAGGCGGGCAUGAAAGUCAGAUGUGAAAUCCCGGGGCUCACCCUCGGAACAGCAUUUGAAACUUCAUGUCUAGAGGGUAGGCGGAGAAAACGGAAUUCCACAAGUAGCGGUGAAAUGCGUAGAUAUGUGGAAGAACACCAGUGGCGAAGGCGGUUUUCUAGCUUAUUCCUGACGCUGAAGCGCGAAAGCAAGGGGAGCAAACAGG